UGGGCUCUAAGACCACAUGAGAAAGCAUAAGUCAUUGUACAAAUGAAUUUGAUGUUGUGAAGUGUCUUGCUACCGGGGAAGUAUGCUCAUUGAUAUCACGAUGUCAUCCAUGACUCGCAAUGCGAACAUUCGCUACAAGGUUUCUCCAAGUAGUGCUGGAAAUCGAGUCCUGAAAGGGUAUUAUGGAAAAAAGAACAACAAAAUUGAAAAACAAAAAAAAAUGAAGGCAAUCUUGAGUCACUUGUCUUUCUUGCAAAUCGUCAAACUCUUGUUUUUCGAAAAUGGAAAAAAAAAGGGAACAAAAAAAAUGAUGAAUCAAAAAACAAAAGUGGCAAUGUCAUACUUUUCCAAGGUCAAGUGUUUAAUAAAAAAU
rnacentral:lncRNA from 1 species